rnacentral:lncRNA from 10 species
CUCUUUUCAGGCUGGAGCCAUGCAGAGUCUCAAAGAGGAAAGAAAGAAGACCUCUGCUGUGAUAGAAACCCUUAAGAGACAGUGAAGGAAUUUCACAGACCUGAACAUCAACUGCCGGAGAAAGAAGUUUGCCCAAAAAGUGCUUCAAAAGGUAAGGAGGAAGCUUAUCUAUGAGAACACUGUGACUACCACAAAGAACACAGAAGGAGGCACAGAGCUGGGGUCUGGAUGGCUGGGACAACAAGGAAAACCUUGUGGGUGCCUGCAGAAGCCAGGCUGACCUUCGUCAUCGGGAUCAGAGGUGUCAGAAGUGUGAGCCUGAAGGCCUAAGAGGUGUUGCAGCUUCUUUACCAUUUUUUUUUUUUUUGCAAAUGGAGUUUUUGUUAAGCUCUGCAAGGCUUCAGUUAUGCUGAGGCUGGAGGGCUCAGAUGCUGUCUUGCAUGGGGAGACCUAAACGCAGAGUCAGUAAAUGAGCUGAUCUAUGGGCAAAAUCAAUGGGAAGCAAAUUACCUUGACAGAGAGCUUUUUGAUUGCUGGACCUCUUGGGAAAUACAGUAUCAUCUGCAUCAAGGGUCUGAUUCCUGAGCUCUAUACUGUUGGAAAACGCUUCAAAGAAGCAAACAACUUUCCAGGGCUCUUCAAGUUUUCUCUAUGAGCUGGAGUGAGGGACCACCUACUUUAUGGAAGGAGCUGCUGGCAGCAGGAAAGACCAGACCAACAAACUCAUUAGAAGGAUGAGC